GACGAACCGUGCGAACGUUAUUCGGAAUCACUGGGCGUAAAGAGCGUGUAGGCGGCCAUACAGGUCCGUUGUGAAAACUGGAGGCUCAACUUCCAGACGUCGACGGAAACCGUGUGGCUAGAGUCCGGAAGAGGAGAGUGGAAUUCCUGGUGUAGCGGUGAAAUGCGCAGAUAUCAGGAAGAACACCAAUGGCGAAGGCAGCUCUCUGGGACGGUACUGACGCUGAGACGCGAAAGCGUGGGGAGCGAACAGG
rnacentral:rRNA from 1 species